rnacentral:rRNA from 1 species
UACGUAGGGGGCGAGCGUUGUCCGGAUUUAUUGGGCGUAAAGCGCGCGCAGGCGGUUCAUUAAGUCUGGUGUGAAAGCUCCCGGCUCACCUGGGAGAGGGCACUGGAGACUGGUGGACUGGAGCGAGGCAGAGGCCGGUGGAAUUCCCGGUGUAGUGGUGAAAUGCGUAGAGAUCGGGAGGAACACCAGUGGCGAAGGCGGCCGGCUGGGCCUUGACUGACGCUGAGGCGCGACAGCGUGGGGAGCGAACAGG